CUCUGUGUCCCCACCAAAAUCUCAUCUCGAAUUAUAAUCCCCUUGUCUUGAGAGAGGGAAGUGAUUGGAGCAUGGGGGCAGUCUCCCCAUGCUGUUCUCAUGAUAGUGAGUGAAUUCUCAUGAGAUCUGAUGGUUUAAAAGUGGCAGUUUUUUCCUGUACGCUCACUUCUCCCUCCUGCCACUUUAUGAAGUAGGUGCCUGCUUCCCCUUCUGUCUUGAUUAUAAGUUUCCUGAGGCCUCCCCAGCCAUGUGGAACUAUGAGUCAAUUAAACCUCUUUCCUUUAUAAAUUACCCAGUCUCGGGUAGUAUCUUUAUAGCAGUGUGAAAACAGACUAAGACUGUUACUCUGCUAAGAAUUACUUUCUUUUUCAUUUAUUUUGAAGUCAUAUUUCUUUCUUUAUGAUUGUAAAAUAAACAUAUGUUCACAAUAAAAUGCAGAUAUGUUCAUAAUAAAAUGCAGAAAGAUAAAUAUCUAUAUUUUUGCCAUCCAGGAGCAACCAAAUGUCUGCAUGUGUAUAAACACACAUAUACAUGUGUAUAUAUACAUAUACAAAAUUAAUAUCAUACUUCAAAAUUUUUUGUGUAUGAUUUUAUUUAAAACUAAACCAGAAAGAUUUUCUGUCAUUGAAUAGUCUUUCAUAUCAGAAUUCUAAUAGCUACAUAUUUCAUCAUAUAACUUUUAUCAAAAAUGUUUAACCAUUUCUUGAUUUGGGGACAUUUAAGCUAUAUCCAUUUCUCCACUAUUAUAUCUAUAUUAGGUAUAAAUACAUGUCUGCAUCUCUAAUUAUUUCUUUUGCAUAGAUUUCUGGGAGUGGUGAAACUGGGCUGAAGUAUGUGAACAACCUUAUGAGUACAAACACGGACUAGCCUGGAGCCAGCCAUAGCAAGGUGUAAGGAUUCCUCCGACAAUAUACAGUGAAGCUCCUGAAGUUCAAUGCAAUAAGAAGUGCUUCAUUGGCGUGGCAAAGUGGGAACCUCCUGCAGAUUUAGAAGUGGUGGCACCCCUCUUGCAGCAACAUGUAGCAGCAUACGGUUGGGCCAUCAAUGAAUCCAAGGUCCAAGGGCCUGGAUUAGCUGCCAAAUUCUUGGGAGUUAUCUGGUCAGGUGACAGCAAGCAAUAGGGAGCCAGAACCGCAUGGAAUUUGGUUUGAAAUGUCCUCCUCACCCAGCCCCAUCCACCACCACCUACUUGGGCUCAGAACCCUUAUUUUUUAGUGAAAAGAUGGCAGGACUGAGGCUUAUGAAAUCUGAACAUGAGUUCUUGUUCGUUCAUUAACAGUGAGACCUGCAACAACUCACUUGCCUGCUUGGAAGCCUCCUUUCUUCCUCUGUAAAAUGGGGAUGAUCCUUUAAUACCAGCUUUGCAGGUUACUGGAGAAUCACAUGAAAUAAUGUACACUGUGAAGUGUGAAGGCAGUGUUGGUUGUUAUUAACACCAGCAGCCUGACCUUGAACCAGGCAACCAAAUGCUCUGUCUCAGAGCCCUCAUCUAUGAGAUGAGUGAGGGGAUUACAUCAUGGUACACAGGCUCUGUGAGAACCACGUAGGAGGCAUGUUAAAAUUCAGAUUCCGGGCCUGCCGUGGUUUAGAUAUUUGACCCUCCAAACAUCUUGUUGAAAUUCAACCCCUAAUAUUAGAGGUAGGGCCUAACGGGAGGUGUCUGGGUCAUGGGGGCCGAUCCUUCAUGAAUGGCUUGGUGCCAGUUGUUGAGGUAAUGAGUGAAUUCUUGCUCUAUCAGUUACCAUGACACUUGAUUGCUUCCUCUCUGGCUAUGUGACCUCUGUAUACACCAGGUCCUCUUCCCCUUCUACCAAGAGCUUGUCCCAUGGUGAGCUGAAGCCCUCACCAGAAGCAGAUGCUGGUACCAUGCUUCUUGUACAGCCUGCAGAACCGUGAGCCAAAUAAACUUCUCUUCUUUAUA
rnacentral:lncRNA from 1 species